UACGGGGGGGGCAAGCGUUGUUCGGAAUUAUUGGGCGUAAAGAGCUCGUAGGCGGUCUGUCGCGUCGGUCGUGAAAACUUGGGGCUUAACCCUGAGCUUGCGGUCGAUACGGGCAUGACUGGAGUUCGGUAGGGGAGACUGGAAUUCCUGGUGUAGCGGUGAAAUGCGCAGAUAUCAGGAGGAACACCGGUGGCGAAAGCGGCGCGCUGGACCUCUACUGACGCUGAGGCGCGAAAGCCAGGGGAGCAAACGGG
rnacentral:rRNA from 1 species